rnacentral:lncRNA from 1 species
AUGACACUGCACUCCAGCCCAGGUAAUGGAGAGAGACACUGUCUCUAAAAAAAGUUUAAAGAUGUAAAACGAUAUCAAAGUACAUAAUACAAAGGACAUAACUUAAAAUGUUGAAAGUGGUAACAAGAUUUAUAAAUGAAACAGAGUCACCUGUACCACUCUCUAUUCCUACUUUGAGGGACAAACACUUUCAACUGAUUCUUUUCCUGGUAUUUUCCUUCACUUUUCUGUGUCCCUGGUUCUCAAAGUGGGGUCUCUAGAAUUUGGGAGAAAUGCAAAUUCUUAGACCCCACCCCAGAUAUACCGAAUCAGACUAUGAGGGUGGAGCCCAGCAGCCAAUGUUUAAACAAACCUGUCUCCAGAGAUUCUGCCUCACGACCCCCCAAAGUUCUGACUGUUCUGGGUGAGGUGUUUAUACAAUGACUUCCUCCUAUGGACUGUGAAGGCUUACCUUUCUUCCACCCUCUCCCCAGCCCCACAAUCCUGCCUUCUUAUCUUUUCAGCACAGCUAUAUGACCAAUUUUGAUGAUGUUAAAAUUCAGUGUUUGUUGUAAUUAUGUAAAUAUUUUCACAACUAUCAGUAUAUUUCAUGUUUUAUGUAACUUUUAUUUUCCCUGGACUGAAUAACUGCCUCAUUUUUUUGUUGUCGUGAUGGCUUAGUGGGUUUGUUGUUGUUGUUUUUUAGAAACGAAGUCUCAGUAUGUUGCCCAAGCUGGUCUUGAACUCCCGGUCUUAAGCGAUCUCCUUGCCUCAGCCUCCCGAGUACUUCUCAGUUUUCUAUACAAAUCUCUCAUCUAUCCCUAACCUCUCAGUUUACCUGUUCUGGUCUUUCCUCACAUAUCUGACAAUCGUUAGCUCUCUUUGUAUUUCAAAGAAAAGCUCUGGAAUGUGUCUGGGACCUGUGUAUAUAUGGGCAAAACUCAUCAACGAAUGGGCUCCCUGGUGAUUAUUUGGCAGAUUCCUGGCAAUUUCAUCAGAGGAUCCAAAAAUUGGAGAAACUCCAAGAUGAACCCCAAAGAUCUCCAUCUCCAGCUGUUCACACUCCUAUGUAAUCUCUAGCCCUUGGGUGUGGAAAGGACUUGUGACUUACUUUAACCAACAACAGAAUAUAGCAAAGAUGCCUAAGAACUGCAAAUGAGAAAUAAUUUUCUCACCUGGUCACAGCAUCUACCAAGAAUGGCGCUGGGGGAGAGAUCAGUGAG